rnacentral:rRNA from 1 species
UACGUAGGGUGCAAGCGUUGUCCGGAAUUAUUGGGCGUAAAGAGCUUGUAGGCGGUUUGUCGCGUCUGCUGUGAAAUUUCGGGGCUCAACCCCGAACUUGCAGUGGGUACGGGCAGACUAGAGUGUGGUAGGGGAGACUGGAAUUCCUGGUGUAGCGGUGAAAUGCGCAGAUAUCAGGAGGAACACCAAUAGCGAAGGCAGCUCGCUGGGACGGUAUUGACGCUGAGGCGCGAAAGCGUGGGGAGCAAACAGG